CAGUAGCCGCGGUAAUACGAAGGGUGCAAGCGUUACUCGGAAUUACUGGGCGUAAAGCGUGCGUAGGUGGUGGUUUAAGUCCGUUGUGAAAGCCCUGGGCUCAACCUGGGAAUUGCAGUGGAUACUGGGUCACUAGAGUGUGGUAGAGGAUAGUGGAAUUUCCGGUGUAGCAGUGAAAUGCGUAGAGAUCGGGAGGAACAUCAGUGGCGAAGGCGGCCAUCUGGGACAACACUGACGCUGAGGCACGAAAGCGUGGGGAGCAAACAGGAUUAGAUACCCCAGUAGUCCCUGUCUCUUAUAC
rnacentral:rRNA from 1 species